GAUGAACGCUGGCGGCGUGCCUAAUACAUGCAAGUCGAGCGAACAGACGAGGAGCUUGCUCCUCUGACGUUAGCGGCGGACGGGUGAGUAACACGUGGAUAACCUACCUAUAAGACUGGGAUAACUUCGGGAAACCGGAGCUAAUACCGGAUAAUAUAUUGAACCGCAUGGUUCAAUAGUGAAAGACGGUUUUGCUGUCACUUAUAGAUGUAUCCGCGCCGCAUUAGCUAGUUGGUAAGGUAACGGCUUACCAAGGCAACGAUGCGUAGCCGACCUGAGAGGGUGAUCGGCCACACUGGAACUGAGACACGGUCCAGACUCAUACGGGAGGCAGCAGUAGGGAAUCUUCCGCAAUGGGCGAAAGCGUGACGGAGCAACGCCGCGUGAGUGAUGAAGGUCUUCGGAUCGUAAAACUCUGUUAUUAGGGAAGAACAAAUGUGUAAGUAACUAUGCACGUAUUGACGGUACCUAAUCAGAAAGCCACGGCUAACUACGUG
rnacentral:rRNA from 1 species